rnacentral:misc_RNA from 1 species
UUUUGUGGUCGGCGGGAGCUUCCUCGCUUGUGCCUUGUUGACCCGCUGCGCACUGCUCUCUUGAAUUUUGUUCGGGGCACGGUGGGCGUGGGCAAGUCGAGGCCUGGCGUGGCUGCGGCCGUGUCGGCACGUGAGUGGUGUUGGAUAUGCAUGUCCCGACGGGUUCCCUGCCAUUGCGCAGCCAACCGUUUGAGCUGCUUUCCCUUCAUUCGACUGCGUCGGUGGCCCCGUUGUCUCGGCGGUUUGGCCCGUUGUCUGUGCACCGAACCUGACUUGCUUUUCGGAACCCCAAGUUGCUUAUGUGCUCGCAUUGCGCUCCUCUUGCCCUCCGGGCGAAGGGGAUGCACGCUUAGGCCUUCCURGUCGGCCCUCGAAUGGUGGCCUGCCAAAGCUGCCUGUGUCGAUCGGCCGUUGAGGACGCGCUAGAGCUUUUGGAUGUUGUGGAUGAAGAGGGCGCGGGGCUUGGUCCCCCUACCCCUUCUCGGUUGCGAUUCGGCAUUCUUUGUCGCUCUCGGAUGGCUGACGGUUUUGCUUGUGGAAGGCGCCCCUGUUGCCUCGACCCCGUGUUGGGGUGCGGUCUCGGGAGGCGGCCCGCAGUGCGGACGUCGCUUAGGAUGUGUUACCUGGUUGAUCCUGCCAGUAGUCAUAUGCUUGUCUC